rnacentral:rRNA from 1 species
GACAGAGGAGCCAAGCGUUGUCCGGAUUGACUGGGCGUAAAGCGCACGCAGGCGGAUGCGCGCGUGGGGUGUGAAAUCUGGCCGCUUAACGGCCAGGCGCCAUCCCAUACGGCGCGUCUGGAGUGAUGCAGAGGUCGAUGGAAUUGCCGGUGUAGUGGUGAGAUGCGUAGAGAUCGGCAGGAACACCCAGGGGGAAACCAGUCGACUGGGCAUCUACUGACGCUGAGGUGCGAGAGCGUGGGGAGCGAACCGG